rnacentral:rRNA from 1 species
AUUGAACGCUGGCGGAAUGCUUUACACAUGCAAGUCGAACGGCAGCACGGACUUCGGUCUGGUGGCGAGUGGCGAACGGGUGAGCAAUGUAUCGGAACGUGCCCAGUCGUGGGGGAUAACGUAGUGAAAAUUACGCUAAUACCGCAUACGAUCUAUGGAUGAAAGCGGGGGAUCGCAAGACCUCGCGCGAUUGGAGCGGCCGAUAUCAGAUUAGGUAGUUGGUGGGGCAAAGGCCCACCAAGCCAACGAUCUGUAGCUGGAAUGAGAGGACGACCAGCCACACUGGAACUGAGACACGGUCCAGACUCCUACGGGAGGCAGCAGUGGGGAAUUUUGGACAAUGGGCGAAAGCCUGAUCCAGCCAUUCCGCGUGCAGGAUGAAGGCCCUCGGGUUGUAAACUGCUUUUGUACAGAACGAAAAGGUUUCUACUAAUACUAGGAGCUCAUGACGGUACUGUAAGAAUAAGCACCGGCUAACUACGUGCCAGCCGCCGCCGUAA